CUGAAUCUGCUGCUCCUCCUCCGCUGCUGGCUGUGGCGGAGGGGCAAAUGCACUAAUUGGGGGGAAAUCGGGAUCCGCAGAUGAGGCUCCGUUACUGGGGCUCCUAUCCCGGUGCGCUCUCGGGGCCUUUGUGGCUGAGGUGCUGAAUAUCUUACUAGCGAGAAUUGACGCUGAGCCUUCCUUCACAGACGCUCUGUUGAAGAACCCAGCUGUGACACCCAGGACUUGUUUAAGGAACUUCUAAUUUUUCCUUUCCCUACAUUUCUUGUAAUGCUUAGGGAGAGAAUGUAGUCGGUUAUCUAGGCUCAGAAGAUAAACCUACUGGCAGUACCAGAGAGGGGUCUAUUUUUCUUCCUUUAAGAAUAAUGCAGUCUUAAGGAUGGAAUCUGCAACUUUGGUGUAUUGGGACGAUGCUCUAACCAACUGAGGAACUUGGCCAGGGUCAUAUACAUCUCUUGAAACAUGAGAGAAAGUGCUCCAGGAUAAAUUUUUUUCUUACUUCCUACAACAAUGUUUUUAGAAUUACAAAAGAAGUAUGUGGUCACUGAAGAAAACUGGAAGACGUAGGGGAAAAAAGAAUAAAAUUUAAAAAACACCCAGAAUUCUAUUUUCUAGGUUAAAUCACUUUUAGCAUUGUGAUGUAAUCAAUUCACACACACUCAACUUUCAUGGAGAUGAUAUUUUGUGACUGUUUUUCAUUUAGUUUAUUUUUAUUGCAAAAAUUUUCCUAUAUCAUAUUUUCCUCUAGAGAAUUUUCAGUGGCAGUAUUUAUGGAAUUGUAGCAUAGAAAAGUACAAUAAUUUACCAAAUUGCUGUUUGACAUGUUGUUUCUUUUUGCUAUUAUAAAACUGAAGAAAACACUUUUAUUGAUAACUUUAUAUACCUCAAUCCCUUAAAGCCUAUUUAGGAUAAAUUUUUACAAGUGAAAAUACAGGCUUAAAUUAAUUUUUUAGUCAUUGCCAAAUUGCCCUCCAGAAAAGUUUACCAAUAUGCACUCCCCAACAGCAGUGUGACAGACAGCCCCUGUAUCUUUUAUAACACUAGAAUGUUGUAGAACAUUUUGAAAGUCUUGUUGUGAAUUAGGAUAUGGGGUGGGCUGUGAGGAGCAAAAAAUUGGGAACAUUUCCCAGCUUGCAUUGAGACAGGGAUUAUUGUGUUUCCAAAAGAGAAAGAAAACAAGACUUUAAGGUUCUUGAAAAUUCACAGAAAAGCAUUCAGACUUAUAACAAGUUUAUGGGCUUCAGUAUUCCAGAAGAAAUUAAAUUGAGCACCCAGAACACAGGGCUUUGGAGUUUGACAGGCAUGAAUUUGCCUAUGAACUCCACCACUUCCUACCUAUGUGACUCCAGGCAAGUUGUUUAGCCUUCCUGAGCCUCAGUUUCCACAUCAUUAAUAGAGGUGUGCUGGUACGUUUUCAUAAGGUUGGUGUAAACAUUUUUAAAAAGGGUAAAAUGCUUAGUACAGUGCAUGGGACACACUAAGCACUAAACACACAUUACUUAACAUUGUUUUUGUCAUUAGAGAAAUAAAACUCAAAGGUGAUAUUGCAGUGCUAAAAGCAUGUUAAAGACUUCCGCCAAGAUGGAGGUAUAGGUGGAUGGGCCGUGCCUUCUCACACAACCAAGUUUAGAGACAACUGAAUAUUAGCAACAGAAAACACAGCCAGAACAUGGAAAAUUGAACUUUUCGGAAGUCUGUUAACAACAAAUUCUUCAGCCUGACCGGUAAGGGGCGAAACCAGCGGCUGGUGAGGGGUUGCACAGGAGGACUCAGUCAGACGGACUCAGGCGUGGAAUCCAGACGCGCGGAAUCCAGGCGCAGGGUUGGACCUAGUGAGCGACCGAGCGAGCCACUAGGCGAGCGACCUCAAAGGAGACAGCGGGGAAGCGGUGCUGCGUGUUGACUGUGGUCGCCCAUUUGUGCACGAGUGGACAGGCAAGGGAGUGAGCGGUUGGACCAGGGCCGGCGGUCCACGUAGCAAGCGGCAGUAGAGGGCGCCGCCAUUUCCCUGCUCUGACCACACCCCCACAUACAGCAUCACAACCCAGCGACCUGGGAGUCCAAGGCGCCGCUUCUCACACUUAAAGGGCCAGAACAGACCAAAAAUGUCACAAGUUCUCAAAGCCCCAGAGCCCAUAGAUCUAAGAGAUGAAGAAAUAGCAAAACAGACGCACAGUUUAAAACACUGGUCAUCAGGAUCCUCACAGAACUGGUUGAUUAUAGCCACAAAUUAGACAAAUAUAUGAAGGCGAAACUAAUUGAAAUGAAUGGAAUUGCACAGGACACCAAUAGCAAUGAAAAGGAAACUGGGACUCAUAUCAAUGGACUGGACCAGAAGAAAGCAAAUAAUGGCCAAACAGAAAAGAGUCAGGAAGCACGAAUUCAAAGAAAUGAGGAAAGUCUUAGGAACCUCCAGGACAUCUUUAAACGCUCCAACAUCCGAAUUAUAGGGGUACCAGAAGGGGGAAAGGCACAGCCACCAGUGGAAAACUUAUUUGAACAAAUAAUAAAGGAGAAUUUCCCCAAUCUGGCAAAGGAAAUAGACUUCCAGGAAAUCCAGGAAGCACAGAGAGUCCCCAAGAAGGUGGACCCAAGAAGGAACACACCAAGGCACAUCAUCAUUACAUUAGCCAAGAUUAAAAUGAAGGAGAGAAUCCUAGAAGCAGCAAGAGCUAAGGGGACAGUCACCUACAAAGGAGUCCCCAUCAGACUGUCAGCAGAUUUCUCAAAAGAGA